rnacentral:rRNA from 1 species
UAGGGAAUCUUCCACAAUGGACGCAAGUCUGAUGGAGCAACGCCGCGUGAGUGAAGAAGGCUUUCGGGUCGUAAAACUCUGUUGUUGGAGAAGAAUGGUCGGCAGAGUAACUGUUGUCGGCGUGACGGUAUCCAACCAGAAAGCCACGGCUAACUACGUGCCAGCAGCCGCGGUAAUACGUAGGUGGCAAGCGUUAUCCGGAUUUAUUGGGCGUAAAGCGAGCGCAGGCGGUUUUUUAAGUCUGAUGUGAAAGCCCUCGGCUUAACCGAGGAAGUGCAUCGGAAACUGGGAAACUUGAGUGCAGAAGAGGACAGUGGAACUCCAUGUGUAGCGGUGAAAUGCGUAGAUAUAUGGAAGAACACCAGUGGCGAAGGCGGCUGUCUGGUCUGUAACUGACGCUGAGGCUCGAAAGCAUGGGUAGCGAACAGGAUUAGAUACCCUGGUAGUCCAUGCCGUAAACGAUGAAUGCUAGGUGUUGGAGGGUUUCCGCCCUUCAGUGCCGCAGCUAACGCAUUAAGCAUUCCGCCUGGGGAGUACGACCGCAAGGUUG